AACGAACGCUGGCGGCAGGCUUAACACAUGCAAGUCGAACGUGAAGUCACCUUCGGGUGAUGGAAAGUGGCAGACGGGUGAGUAACGCGUGGGAACCUACCUAAUGGUACGGAAUAACUCAGGGAAACUUGGGCUAAUACCGUAUGUGCCCGAAAGGAGAAAGAUUUAUCGCCAUUAGAUGGGCCCGCGUCGGAUUAGCUAGUUGGUAAGGUAACGGCUUACCAAGGCGACGAUCCGUAGCUGGUCUGAGAGGAUGAUCAGCCACACUGGGACUGAGACACGGCCCAGACUCCUACGGGAGGCAGCAGUGGGGAAUAUUGGACAAUGGGCGCAAGCCUGAUCCAGCCAUGCCGCGUGAGUGAUGAAGGCCCUAGGGUUGUAAAGCUCUUUCGGCGGGGACGAUAAUGACGGUACCCGCAGAAGAAGCCCCGGCUAACUUCGUGCCAGCAGCCGCCGUAACAC
rnacentral:rRNA from 1 species